UAGCAGUGGCUUUUACAAGCAGAGAGAUUUGUUUCUAUGAUCUACUGUCCAAAGAAGAAUUUCCUUGUCAAUAUAAACUCCAAGGCCUGAGAGGAACUCCCAUUUGCAUGGAUUAUUGGUAUGAUCCUCUUGAUCCUAAAGAAUCCAUCCUUUCUUUUGGGGAUAUAACUGGAAAGGUUCAAGUGAUAGUUUUCACAGCAGCUGUCAUUUCCCUUUUUGAACGGCCUGCUAAUGCAUGUGAUGAUGAAGAAGCAACAAUGACCAUCGACUGGGCAGACUUGCUCUCUGGAUGUCACAAAUGUUGCUACAUAUUACAGCACACACUUCAUCAUUGAGACUGGGUCAGGCAAGUUUCUUACAAUGCCUCUUUAGAUGCUUUCAUUUCCAGUACAACCAGC
rnacentral:lncRNA from 1 species